AUUAAAUUUUUAUCAUUAUGUUCUUAGAUAACUAAGUGGAAGCACUUAGUAUAUAUGUGAUUAUAAAGUAUUGCAUAUUGUUCGGUGGUGGGUUAACAUUUUAACCGAGUAAUUUUUAUACAUUUAUUACGAUUAUUAACCGGUUUAACCGGGACUUGUGACACGGGGGAAAAAGGUUGGUUAGUUGCGUGAAAUUAAAGAAGUGUAGUCAAUUUUUUUUCCUCUUAUCUCGCUUGUCUUCUUUUCGAUUCCAUUUCUAUUGUUUCCAAUAAUAUACAAUCGAACAGUCUUUGAAAGAACACAAAUCUACACAUACAGACAACUAAAUCCUUUUCCGUUUCUUAAUCGGCCAGAUCCAAGAUCUAUUAGUUUCUAUAUUCUAUCAGUUUUUUCUUCCUAUUGAAGCAGCUGAUUGGGUACAAUAUCUCUGACGACGAUUCUGAUCCUGUCAAUCGGGCAAGAAGCAACAUAUUGAGGUAAAACAGUUCAUGACUUCUAUUAAUUUUGUAUAUGUCAUCCUUUAUGUGAAAGUAGGUAUAGAAUUUGACUCCAAUCAAGCGGUGCCGAUUUGGUGUACUAUUAUUGUUGACUAUAAAACCUUAAUCGAGUUUGGGUAUUUUGAUAAAUCCUUUCUGAGUAGUAAAAAAAGUGUUUCAGGUUUACGGAAUCAAUCAUUCACUUUAAUGAUUGUUUGUGAGUGUGAUGUUUUUUUCAUUCUCGAAGUCGUGCUAUUUAUAGUAGUUAGUUUAGUGUAUAAGGUAGUUGUGAUAUAAUAUGAAGAAUCGAUUCCAAAUUCGAAUAAUUCCCUUGAUUCCGGGUAUCAUCGUAAUCAUAGGUGAUUUUUUCCUUAACUGAUUUCUAUCAGUUAGCGUAUAAGAUCUAAUUACGAUGACUCAAUAUUAAUGGAGUCGUUUCUGACGCAGGGAUUCUUUAAUGGGAUUAUAUCGAUUCUUAUUUGAAUCUUGAUUUUCUCCGAAAUUUUUGCAUUGGUGAUUCUGUCAAUCAUAAAUCGGGCAUAGCAAGAUAUGCGGAAAGAGAUAUGCAGAGAUAUUCAAUGGAGGAUAUUUCGUUUUGAUGAAGAACAGUUGGACGUAAUGGAGGACACGUAUAGUUGGGCUUAAUGUAAAUGGGCCACUAA
rnacentral:lncRNA from 1 species